CCGGUAAUAGCUCAGUUGGUAGAGCGGGAGACUGUAGUGAACUCAUUGUUCAAAACUGAUAUCUCUAGGUCGCUAGUUCAAGUCUGGCUUGCCGGA
rnacentral:tRNA from 1 species